UGUGUGUGUGUGUGUGUGUGUGUGUGUGUAUAUAUAUAUAUAUAUAUACACACACACACACACAUAUACACAUAUA
rnacentral:miRNA from 1 species